rnacentral:lncRNA from 1 species
CCUCGAAAGUCCACAUCUAGCUACUGGGUGGUCCGAUUCUGAGUGAUCUCGAAGUUUCUUGCCCACAAAAGCCGAACGGUGACGCCCCAGACUCGGUUUCUUGGUUCCGUCCCAAAACGCCGAAGAAAAGCACAAUGGCCUAGAAAGGGACGGUCGGACUUGGAACGGGGUCCGAGGCCUCGAAAGUCCACAUCUAGCUACUGGGUGGUCCGAUUCUGAGUGAUCUCGAAGUUUCUUGCCCACAAAAGCCGAACGGUGACGCGCCCAGACUCGGUUUCUUGGUUCCGUCCCAAAACGCCGAAGAAAGGCACAAUGGCCUAGAAAGGGACGGUCGGACUUGGAACGGGGUCCGAGGCCUCGAAAGUCCACAUCUAGCUACUGGGUGGUCCGAUUCUGAGUGAUCUCGAAGUUUCUUGCCCACAAAAGCCGAACGGUGACGCCCCAGACUCGGUUUCUUGGUUCCGUCCCAAAACGCCGAAGAAAGGCACAAUGGCCUAGAAAGGGACGGUCGGACUUGGAACGGGGUCCGAGGCCUCGAAAGUCCACAUCUAGCUACUGGGUGGUCCGAUUCUGAGUGAUCUCGAAGUUUCUUGCCCACAAAAGCCGAACGGUGACGCCCCAGACUCGGUUUCUUGGUUCCGUCCCAAAACGCCGAAGAAAGGCACAAUGGCCUAGAAAGGGACGGUCGGACUUGGAACGGGGUCCGAGGCCUCGAAAGUCCACAUCUAGCUACUGGGUGGUCCGAUUCUGAGUGAUCUCGAAGUUUCUUGCCCACAAAAGCCGAACGGUGACGCCCCAGACUCGGUUUCUUGGUUCCGUCCCAAAACGCCGAAGAAAGGCACAAUGGCCUAGAAAGGGACGGUCGGACUUGGAACGGGGUCCGAGGCCUCGAAAGUCCACAUCUAGCUACUGGGUGGUCCGAUUCUGAGUGAUCUCGAAGUUUCUUGCCCACAAAAAGCCGAACGGUGACGCCCCAGACUCGGUUUCUUGGUUCCGUCCCAAAACGCCGAAGAAAGGCACAAUGGCCUAGAAAGGGACGGUCGGACUUGGAACGGGGUCCGAGGCCUCGAAAGUCCACAUCUAGCUACUGGGUGGUCCGAUUCUGAGUGAUCUCGAAGUUUCUUGCCCACAAAAGCCGAACGGUGACGCCCCAGACUCGGUUUCUUGGUUCCGUCCCAAAACGCCGAAGAAAGGCACAAUGGCCUAGAAAGGGACGGUCGGACUUGGAACGGGGUCCGAGGCCUCGAAAGUCCACAUCUAGCUACUGGGUGGUCCGAUUCUGAGUGAUCUCGAAGUUUCUUGCCCACAAAAGCCGAACGGUGACGCCCCAGACUCGGUUUCUUGGUUCCGUCCCAAAACGCCGAAGAAAGGCACAAUGGCCUAGAAAGGGACGGUCGGACUUGGAACGGGGUCCGAGGCCUCGAAAGUCCACAUCUAGCUACUGGGUGGUCCGAUUCUGAGUGAUCUCGAAGUUUCUUGCCCACAAAAGCCGAACGGUGACGCCCCCGACUCGGUUUCUUGGUUCCGUCCCAAAACGCCGAAGAAAGGCACAAUGGCCUAGAAAAGGACGGUCGGACUUGGAACGGGGUCCGAGGCCUCGAAAGUCCACAUCUAGCUACUGGGUGGUCCGAUUCUGAGUGAUCUCGAAGUUUCUUGCCCACAAAAGCCGAACGGUGACGCCCCAGACUCGGUUUCUUGGUUCCGUCCCAAAACGCCGAAGAAAGGCACAAUGGCCUAGAAAGGGACGGUCGGACUUGGAACGGGGUCCGAGGCCUCGAAAGUCCACAUCUAGCUACUGGGUGGUCCGAUUCUGAGUGAUCUCGAAGUUUCUUGCCCACAAAAGCCGAACGGUGACGCCCCAGACUCGGUUUCUUGGUUCCGUCCCAAAACGCCGAAGAAAGGCACAAUGGCCUAGAAAGGGACGGUCGGACUUGGAACGGGGUCCGAGGCCUCGAAAGUCCACAUCUAGCUACUGGGUGGUCCGAUUCUGAGUGAUCUCGAAGUUUCUUGCCCACAAAAGCCGAACGGUGACGCCCCAGACUCGGUUUCUUGGUUCCGUCCCAAAACGCCGAAGAAAGGCACAAUGGCCUAGAAAGGGACGGUCGGACUUGGAACGGGGUCCGAGGCCUCGAAAGUCCACAUCUAGCUACUGGGUGGUCCGAUUCUGAGUGAUCUCGAAGUUUCUUGCCCACAAAAGCCGAACGGUGACGCCCCAGACUCGGUUUCUUGGUUCCGUCCCAAAACGCCGAAGAAAGGCACAAUGGCCUAGAAAGGGACGGUCGGACUUGGAACGGGGUCCGAGGCCUCGAAAGUCCACAUCUAGCUACUGGGUGGUCCGAUUCUGAGUGAUCUCGAAGUUUCUUGCCCACAAAAGCCGAACGGUGACGCCCCAGACUCGGUUUCUUGGUUCCGUCCCAAAACGCCCGAAGAAAGGCACAAUGGCCUAGAAAGGGACGGUCGGACUUGGAACGGGGUCCGAGGCCUCGAAAGUCCACAUCUAGCUACUGGGUGGUCCGAUUCUGAGUGAUCUCGAAGUUUCUUGCCCACAAAAGCCGAACGGUGACGCCCCAGACUCGGUUUCUUGGUUCCGUCCCAAAACGCCGAAGAAAGGCACAAUGGCCUAGAAAGGGACGGUCGGACUUGGAACGGGGUCCGAGGCCUCGAAAGUCCACAUCUAGCUACUGGGGUGGUCCGAUUCUGAGUGAUCUCGAAGUUUCUUGCCCACAAAAGCCGAACGGUGACGCCCCAGACUCGGUUUCUUGGUUCCGUCCCAAAACGCCGAAGAAAGGCACAAUGGCCUAGAAAGGGACGGUCGGACUUGGAACGGGGUCCGAGGCCUCGAAAGUCCACAUCUAGCUACUGGGUGGUCCGAUUCUGAGUGAUCUCGAAGUUUCUUGCCCACAAAAGCCGAACGGUGACGCCCCAGACUCGGUUUCUUGGUUCCGUCCCAAAACGCCGAAGAAAGGCACAAUGGCCUAGAAAGGGACGGUCGGACUUGGAACGGGGUCCGAGGCCUCGAAAGUCCACAUCUAGCUACUGGGUGGUCCGAUUCUGAGUGAUCUCGAAGUUUCUUGCCCACAAAAGCCGAACGGUGACGCCCCAGACUCGGUUUCUUGGUUCCGUCCCAAAACGCCGAAGAAAGGCACAAUGGCCUAGAAAGGGACGGUCGGACUUGGAACGGGGUCCGAGGCCUCGAAAGUCCACAUCUAGCUACUGGGUGGUCCGAUUCUGAGUGAUCUCGAAGUUUCUUGCCCACAAAAGCCGAACGGUGACGCCCCAGACUCGGUUUCUUGGUUCCGUCCCAAAACGCCGAAGAAAGGCACAAUGGCCUAGAAAGGGACGGUCGGACUUGGAACGGGGUCCGAGGCCUCGAAAGUCCACAUCUAGCUACUGGGUGGUCCGAUUCUGAGUGAUCUCGAAGUUUCUUGCCCACAAAAGCCGAACGGUGACGCCCCAGACUCGGUUUCUUGGUUUCGUCCCAAAACGCCGAAGAAAGGCACAAUGGCCUAGAAAGGGACGGUCGGACUUGGAACGGGGUCCGAGGCCUCGAAAGUCCACAUCUAGCUACUGGGUGGUCCGAUUCUGAGUGAUCUCGAAGUUUCUUGCCCACAAAAGCCGAACGGUGACGCCCCAGACUCGGUUUCUUGGUUCCGUCCCAAAACGCCGAAGAAAGGCACAAUGGCCUAGAAAGGGACGGUCGGACUUGGAACGGGGUCCGAGGCCUCGAAAGUCCACAUCUAGCUACUGGGUGGUCCGAUUCUGAGUGAUCUCGAAGUUUCUUGCCCACAAAAGCCGAACGGUGACGCCCCAGACUCGGUUUCUUGGUUCCGUCCCAAAACGCCGAAGAAAGGCACAAUGGCCUAGAAAGGGACGGUCGGACUUGGAACGGGGUCCGAGGCCUCGAAAGUCCACAUCUAGCUACUGGGUGGUCCGAUUCUGAGUGAUCUCGAAGUUUCUUGCCCACAAAAGCCGAACGGUGACGCCCCAGACUCGGUUUCUUGGUUCCGUCCCAAAACGCCGAAGAAAGGCACAAUGGCCUAGAAAGGGACGGUCGGACUUGGAACGGGGUCCGAGGCCUCGAAAGUCCACAUCUAGCUACUGGGUGGUCCGAUUCUGAGUGAUCUCGAAGUUUCUUGCCCACAAAAGCCGAACGGUGACGCCCCAGACUCGGUUUCUUGGUUCCGUCCCAAAACGCCGAAGAAAGGCACAAUGGCCUAGAAAGGGACGGUCGGACUUGGAACGGGGUCCGAGGCCUCGAAAGUCCACAUCUAGCUACUGGGUGGUCCGAUUCUGAGUGAUCUCGAAGUUUCUUGCCCACAAAAGCCGAACGGUGACGCCCCAGACUCGGUUUCUUGGUUCCGUCCCAAAACGCCGAAGAAAGGCACAAUGGCCUAGAAAGGGACGGUCGGGACUUGGAACGGGGUCCGAGGCCUCGAAAGUCCACAUCUAGCUACUGGGUGGUCCGAUUCUGAGUGAUCUCGAAGUUUCUUGCCCACAAAAGCCGAACGGUGACGCCCCAGACUCGGUUUCUUGGUUCCGUCCCAAAACGCCGAAGAAAGGCACAAUGGCCUAGAAAGGGACGGUCGGACUUGGAACGGGGUCCGAGGCCUCGAAAGUCCACAUCUAGCUACUGGGUGGUCCGAUUCUGAGUGAUCUCGAAGUUUCUUGCCCACAAAAGCCGAACGGUGACGCCCCAGACUCGGUUUCUUGGUUCCGUCCCAAAACGCCGAAGAAAGGCACAAUGGCCUAGAAAGGGACGGUCGGACUUGGAACGGGGUCCGAGGCCUCGAAAGUCCACAUCUAGCUACUGGGUGGUCCGAUUCUGAGUGAUCUCGAAGUUUCUUGCCCACAAAAGCCGAACGGUGACGCCCCAGACUCGGUUUCUUGGUUCCGUCCCAAAACGCCGAAGAAAGGCACAAUGGCCUAGAAAGGGACGGUCGGACUUGGAACGGGGUCCGAGGCCUCGAAAGUCCACAUCUAGCUACUGGGUGGUCCGAUUCUGAGUGAUCUCGAAGUUUCUUGCCCACAAAAGCCGAACGGUGACGCCCCAGACUCGGUUUCUUGGUUCCGUCCCAAAACGCCGAAGAAAGGCACAAUGGCCUAGAAAGGGACGGUCGGACUUGGAACGGGUCCGAGGCCUCGAAAGUCCACAUCUAGCUACUGGGUGGUCCGAUUCUGAGUGAUCUCGAAGUUUCUUGCCCACAAAAGCCGAACGGUGACGCCCCAGACUCGGUUUCUUGGUUCCGUCCCAAAACGCCGAAGAAAGGCACAAUGGCCUAGAAAGGGACGGUCGGACUUGGAACGGGGUCCGAGGCCUCGAAAGUCCACAUCUAGCUACUGGGUGGUCCGAUUCUGAGUGAUCUCGAAGUUUCUUGCCCACAAAAGCCGAACGGUGACGCCCCAGACUCGGUUUCUUGGUUCCGUCCCAAAACGCCGAGAAAAGGCACAAUGGCCUAGAAAGGGACGGUCGGACUUGGAACGGGGUCCGAGGCCUCGAAAGUCCACAUCUAGCUACUGGGUGGUCCGAUUCUGAGUGAUCUCGAAGUUUCUUGCCCACAAAAGCCGAACGGUGACGCCCCAGACUCGGUUUCUUGGUUCCGUCCCAAAACGCCGAAGAAAGGCACAAUGGCCUAGAAAGGGACGGUCGGACUUGGAACGGGGUCCGAGGCCUCGAAAGUCCACAUCUAGCUACUGGGUGGUCCGAUUCUGAGUGAUCUCGAAGUUUCUUGCCCACAAAAGCCGAACGGUGACGCCCCAGACUCGGUUUCUUGGUUCCGUCCCAAAACGCCGAAGAAAGGCACAAUGGUCCUAGAAAGGGACGGUCGGACUUGGAACGGGGUCCGAGGCCUCGAAAGUCCACAUCUAGCUACUGGGUGGUCCGAUUCUGAGUGAUCUCGAAGUUUCUUGCCCACAAAAGCCGAACGGUGACGCCCCAGACUCGGUUUCUUGGUUCCGUCCCAAAACGCCGAAGAAAGACACAAUGGCCUAGAAAGGGACGGUCGGACUUGGAACGGGGUCCGAGGCCUCGAAAGUCCACAUCUAGCUACUGGGUGGUCCGAUUCUGAGUGAUCUCGAAGUUUCUUGCCCACAAAAAGCCGAACGGUGACGCCCAGACUCGGUUUCUUGGUUCCGUCCCAAAACGCCGAAGAAAGGCACAAUGGCCUAGAAAGGGACGGUCGGACUUGGAACGGGGUCCGAGGCCUCGAAAGUCCACAUCUAGCUACUGGGUGGUCCGAUUCUGAGUGAUCUCGAAGUUUCUUGCCCACAAAAGCCGAACGGUGACGCCCCAGACUCGGUUUCUUGGUUCCGUCCCAAAACGCCGAAGAAAGGCACAAUGGCCUAGAAAGGGACGGUCGGACUUGGAACGGGGUCCGAGGCCUCGAAAGUCCACAUCUAGCUACUGGGUGGUCCGAUUCUGAGUGAUCUCGAAGUUUCUUGCCCACAAAAGCCGAACGGUGACGCCCCAGACUCGGUUUCUUGGUUCCGUCCCAAAACGCCGAAGAAAGGCACAAUGGCCUAGAAAGGGACGGUCGGACUUGGAACGGGGUCCGAGGCCUCGAAAGUCCACAUCUAGCUACUGGGUGGUCCGAUUCUUUGUGAUCUCGAAGUUUCUUGCCCACAAAAGCCGAACGGUGACGCCCCAGACUCGGUUUCUUGGUUCCGUCCCAAAACGCCGAAGAAAGGCACAAUGGCCUAGAAAGGGACGGUCGGACUUGGAACGGGGUCCGAGGCCUCGAAAGUCCACAUCUAGCUACUGGGUGGUCCGAUUCUGAGUGAUCUCGAAGUUUCUUGCCCACAAAAGCCGAACGGUGACGCCCCAGACUCGGUUUCUUGGUUCCGUCCCAAAACGCCGAAGAAAGGCACAAUGGCCUAGAAAGGGACGGUCGGACUUGGAACGGGGUCCGAGGCCUCGAAAGUCCACAUCUAGCUACUGGGUGGUCCGAUUCUGAGUGAUCUCGAAGUUUCUUGCCCACAAAAGCCGAACGGUGACGCCCCAGACUCGGUUUCUUGGUUCCGUCCCAAAACGCCGAAGAAAGGCACAAUGGCCUAGAAAGGGACGGUCGGACUUGGAACGGGGUCCGAGGCCUCGAAAGUCCACAUCUAGCUACUGGGUGGUCCGAUUCUGAGUGAUCUCGAAGUUUCUUGCCCACAAAAGCCGAACGGUGACGCCCCAGACUCGGUUUCUUGGUUCCGUCCCAAAAACGCCGAAGAAAGGCCCAAUGGCCUAGAAAGGGACGGUCGGACGUGGAACGGGGUCCGAGGCGUCGAAAGUCAACAUCUAGCUACUGGGUGGUCCGAUUCUGAGUGAUCUCGAAGUUUAUUGCCCACAAAAGCCGAACGGUGACGCCCCAGACUCGGUUUCUUGGUUCCGUCCCAAAACGCCGAAGAAAGGCACAAUGGCCUAGAAAGGGACGGUCGGACUUGGAACGGGGUCCGAGGCCUCGAAAGUCCACAUCUAGCUACUGGGUGGUCCGAUUCUGAGUGAUCUCGAAGUUUCUUGCCCACAAAAGCCGAACGGUGACGCCCCAGACUCGGUUUCUUGGUUCCGUCCCAAAACGCCGAAGAAAGGCACAAUGGCCUAGAAAGGGACGGUCGGACUUGGAACGGGGUCCGAGGCCUCGAAAGUCCACAUCUAGCUACUGGGUGGUCCGAUUCUUUGUGAUCUCGAAGUUUCUUGCCCACAAAAGCCGAACGGUGACGCCCCAGACUCGGUUUCUUGGUUCCGUCCCAAAACGCCGAAGAAAGGCACAAUGGCCUAGAAAGGGACGGUCGGACUUGGAACGGGGUCCGAGGCCUCGAAAGUCCACAUCUAGCUACUGGGUGGUCCGAUUCUGAGUGAUCUCGAAGUUUCUUGCCCACAAAAGCCGAACGGUGACGCCCCAGACUCGGUUUCUUGGUUCCGUCCCAAAACGCCGAAGAAAGGCACAAUGGCCUAGAAAGGGACGGUCGGACUUGGAACGGGGUCCGAGGCCUCGAAAGUCCACAUCUAGCUACUGGGUGGUCCGAUUCUGAGUGAUCUCGAAGUUUCUUGCCCACAAAAGCCGAACGGUGACGCCCCAGACUCGGUUUCUUGGUUCCGUCCCAAAACGCCGAAGAAAGGCACAAUGGCCUAGAAAGGGACGGUCGGACUUGGAACGGGGUCCGAGGCCUCGAAAGUCCACAUCUAGCUACUGGGUGGUCCGAUUCUUUGUGAUCUCGAAGUUUCUUGCCCACAAAAGCCGAACGGUGACGCCCCAGACUCGGUUUCUUGGUUCCGUCCCAAAACGCCGAAGAAAGGCACAAUGGCCUAGAAAGGGACGGUCGGACUUGGAACGGGGUCCGAGGCCUCGAAAGUCCACAUCUAGCUACUGGGUGGUCCGAUUCUGAGUGAUCUCGAAGUUUCUUGCCCACAAAAGCCGAACGGUGACGCCCCAGACUCGGUUUCUUGGUUCCGUCCCAAAACGCCGAAGAAAGGCACAAUGGCCUAGAAAGGGAAGGUCGGACUUGGAACGGGGUCCGAGGCCUCGAAAGUCAACAUCUAGCUACUGGGUGGUCCGAUUCUGAGUGAUCUCGAAGUUUCUUGCCCACAAAAGCCGAACGGUGACGCCCCAGACUCGGUUUCUUGGUUCCGUCCCAAAACGCCGAAGAAAGGCACAAUGGCCUAGAAAGGGACGGUCGGACUUGGAACGGGGUCCGAGGCCUCGAAAGUCCACAUCUAGCUACUGGGUGGUCCGAUUCUUUGUGAUCUCGAAGUUUCUUGCCCACAAAAGCCGAACGGUGACGCCCCAGACUCGGUUUCUUGGUUCCGUCCCAAAACGCCGAAGAAAGGCACAAUGGCCUAGAAAGGGACGGUCGGACUUGGAACGGGGUUCGAGGCCUCGAAAGUCCACAUCUAGCUACUGGGUGGUCCGAUUCUUUGUGAUCUCGAAGUUUCUUGCCCACAAAAGCCGAACGGUGACGCCCCAGACUCGGUUUCUUGGUUCCGUCCCAAAACGCCGAAGAAAGGCACAAUGGCCUAGAAAGGGACGGUCGGACUUGGAACGGGGUCCGAGGCCUCGAAAGUCCACAUCUAGCUACUGGGUGGUUCGAUUCUGAGUGAUCUCGAAGUUUCUUGCCCACAAAAGCCGAACGGUGACGCCCCAGACUCGGUUUCUUGGUUCCGUCCCAAAACGCCGAAGAAAGGCACAAUGGCCUAGAAGAAAGGACGGUCGUACUUGGAACGGGGUCCGAGGCCUCGAAAGUCCACAUCUAGCGACUGGGUGGUUCGAUUCUGAGUGAUCUCGAAGUUUCUUGCCCACAAAAGCCGAACGGUGACGCCCCAGACUCGGUUUCUUGGUUCCGUCCCAAAACGCCGAAGAAAGGCAAAAUGGCCUAGAAAGGGACGGUCGGACUCGAAACGGGGUCCGAGGCCUCGAAAGUCCACAUCUAGCGACUGGGUGGUCCGAUUCUGAGUGAUCUCGAAGUUUCUUGCCCACAAAAGCAGAACGGUGACGCCCUAGACUCGGUUUCUUGGUUCCGUCCCAAAACGCCAAAGAAAGGCACAAUGACCAAGAAAGGGAUGGUCGGACUUGGAACGGGGUCUGAGGCCUCGAAAGUCCACAUCUAGCUACUGGGUGGUCCGAUUCUUUGUGAUCUCGAAGUUUCUUGCCCACAAAAGCCGAACGGUGACGCCCCAGACUCGGUUUCUUGGUUCCGUCCCAAA